rnacentral:rRNA from 1 species
UACGUAGGCAGCGAGCGUUGUUCGGAAUUACUGGGCGUAAAGAGUGUGUAGGCGGUGCUCCCAGUCUGUUGUGAAAUCUCCCGGCUUAACUGGGAGGGUGCAGCGGAAACUAGAGUGCUAGAGGGUGGGAGAGGUAAGCGGAAUUCCUGGUGUAGCGGUGAAAUGCGUAGAUAUCAGGAGGAACACCUGUGGUGUAGACAGCUUACUGGACCACUUCUGACGCUGAGGAGCGAAAGCGUGGGGAGCGAACAGG